rnacentral:rRNA from 1 species
AUGAACGCUAGCGGCAGGCUUAACACAUGCAAGUCGAGGGGCAGCAUACCCGGUGACGGGUGAUGGCGACCGGCGGAAGGGUGAGUAACGCGUGAGCAACAUACCCGUAUCAGUGGGAUAAUACAGGGAAACUUGUUCUAAUAUCACAUAAUAUUAUUCAGAGGCAUCUUUGGAUAAUUAAAGUUCAGGCGGAUACGGAAUGGCUCGCGUGACAUUAGCUAGAUGGUAGGGUAAAGGCCUACCAUGGCUAUGAUGUCUAGGGGUUCUGAGAGGGAGGUCCCCCACACUGGAACUGAGACACGGUCCAGACUCCUACGGGAGGCAGCAGUGAGGAAUAUUGGACAAUGGAUGAAAAAUCUGAUCCAGCCAUGCCGCGUGCAGGAAGGCGGCCCUAUGGGUUGUAAACUGCUUUUCCAGGGAGAGAAACUUACGCACGUGUUGCGUGACUGACGGUACCCUGGGAAUAAGCAUCGGCUAACUCCGUG